AUAUUGGUGAUGACGGAAAAAAGUAAUUGUGCCUUUUUCAUGCAGAGAGCUAGUGGCUGGUGUAAACUAGUUGAAAUACACAAUGAAGUUCCUUCCCGAACUGCAGGCUGAAAAAUACAGUAGGUCUUGCCGUAUUGUCUACGUUACAGACAUAGAGCUGAUCUUAUGAUCAAACUAGGGUGGUACCGCGGUGAUUCGUCCCUUAU
rnacentral:ncRNA from 1 species